rnacentral:rRNA from 1 species
GACGAACGCUGGCGGCGUGCUUAACACAUGCAAGUCGAACGGUAAGGCCCUUCGGGGUACACGAGUGGCGAACGGGUGAGUAACACGUGGGUGAUCUGCCCUGCACUUCGGGAUAAGCCUGGGAAACUGGGUCUAAUACCGGAUAGGACCACUGCCUGCAUGGGUGGUGGUGGAAAGCUUUUGCGGUGUGGGGUGGGCCCGCGGCCUAUCAGCUUGUUGGUGGGGUGAUGGCAUACCAAGGCGACGACGGGUAGCCGGCCUGAGAGGGUGACCGGCCAGACUGGGACUGAGCUACGGCCCAGGCACCUACGGGGGGCAGCAGUGGGGAAUAUUGCACAAUGGGCGCAAGCCUGAUGCAGCGACGGCGCGUGAGGGAUGACGGCCUUCGGGUUGUAAACCUCUUUCAGCACCGACGAAGCGCAAGUGACGGUAGGUGCAGAAGAAGGACCGGCCAACUACGUGCCAGCCGCCGCAGUAA